GACGAACGCUGGCGGCGUGCUUAACACAUGCAGGUCGAACGGAAAGGCCCUGCUUUUGUGGGGUGCUCGAGUGGCGAACGGGUGAGUAACACGUGAGUAACCUGCCCUUGACUUUGGGAUAACUUCAGGAAACUGGGGCUAAUACCGGAUAGGAGCUCCUGCUGCAUGGUGGGGGUUGGAAAGUUUCGGCGGUUGGGGAUGGACUCGCGGCUUAUCAGCUUGUUGGUGGGGUAGUGGCUUACCAAGGCUUUGACGGGUAGCCGGCCUGAGAGGGUGACCGGCCACAUUGGGACUGAGAUACGGCCCAGACUCCUACGGGAGGCAGCAGUGGGGAAUAUUGCACAAUGGGCGGAAGUCUGAUGCAGCAACGCCGCGUGCGGGAUGACGGCCUUCGGGUUGUAAACCGCUUUCGCCUGUGACGAAGCGUGAGUGACGGUAAUGGGUAAAGAAGCACCGGCUAACUACGUG
rnacentral:rRNA from 1 species